GCCGGGCGUGGUGGUGCACACCUGUGAUCUCAGUGGCUCAGGAGGCUGAGGCAGGAGGAUCUCGAGUUCAAAGCCAGCCUCAGUGAAAGCAAGGUGCUAAGAAACUCAGUGAGACCCUGUCUCUA
rnacentral:sRNA from 1 species